AGGAUUAACGCUGGCGGCGUGCCUAACACAUGCAAGUCGAACGAGGUAGCAAUACCUAGUGGCAGACGGGUGAGUAACACGUGACCAACCUACCCUAGAGUGGGGGAUAACUAGCCGAAAGGUUAGCUAAUACCGCAUGAAACGUGCUGUGGCAUCACAGAACGUUAAAAGGAGCAAUCCGCUUAAGGACGGGGUCGCGUCCCAUUAGCUAGUUGGUGGGGUAACGGCCUACCAAGGCACCGAUGGGUAGCUGGUUUGAGAGAGCGACCAGCCACACUGGGACUGAGAAACGGCCCAGACUCCUACGGGGGGCAGCAAUUAGGAAUCUUGCGCAAUGGGGGAAACCCUGACGCAGCGACGCCGCGUGAAGGAUGAAGUCUUUCGGGAUGUAAACUUCUUUAUCAGGGAAGAAGAAUGUGACGGUACCUGAUGAAUAAGCCCGGCUAACUACGUGCCAGCAGCCG
rnacentral:rRNA from 1 species